AUUCCAGAAGUGAUGGGCUUGCCUAUCACUCCGGCAGCAAGCGAAGGUGUCAUUGGCACCCGUGGCAUAGUCCCCCCGGCUAUGCCACGAUAUUUUUUU
rnacentral:ncRNA from 1 species